rnacentral:rRNA from 1 species
CGGCGGACGGGUGAGUAAUGCUUAUGAAUCUGCCUAUUAGUGGGGGGCAACAUUCCGAAAGGAAUGCUAAUACCGCAUACGCCCUACGGGGGAAAGCAGGGGAUCUUCGGACCUUGCGCUAAUAGAUGAGCCUAAGUCAGAUUAGCUAGUUGGUGGGGUAAAGGCCUACCAAGGCGACAAUCUGUACCGGGUCUGAGAGGAUGAUCCGCCACACUGGGACUGAGACACGGCCCAGACUCCUACGGGAGGCAGCAGUGGGGAAUAUUGGACAAUGGGCGAAAGCCUGAUCCAGCCAUGCCGCGUGUGUGAAGAAGGCCUUUUGGUUGUAAAGCACUUUAAGCGAGGAGGAGGCUACUUAGAUUAAUACUCUAGGAUAGUGGACGUUACUCGCAGAAUAAGCACCGGCUAACUCUGUGCCAGCAGCCGCGGUAAUACAGAGGGUGCGAGCGUUAAUCGGAUUUACUGGGCGUAAAGCGUGCGUAGGCGGCUUUUUAAGUCGGAUGUGAAAUCCCUGAGCUUAACUUAGGAAUUGCAUUCGAUACUGGGAAGCUAGAGUAUGGGAGAGGAUGGUAGAAUUCCAGGUGUAGCGGUGAAAUGCGUAGAGAUCUGGAGGAAUACCGAUGGCGAACGCAGGCCAUUUGGCCUAAUACUGACGCUGAGUACGAAAGCAUGGGGAGCAAACAUGAUUAGAUACCCUGGUAGUCCAUGCCGUAAACGAUGUCUACUAGCCGUUGGGGCCUUGAGGCUUAGUAGCGCAACUAACGCGAUUAGUAGGACGCCUGGG